rnacentral:rRNA from 1 species
GAUGAACGCUGGCGGCGUGCUUAACACAUGCAAGUCGAACGGAAAGGCCAGUGCUUGCACUCGUACUCGAGUGGCGAACGGGUGAGUAACACGUGGGUGAUCUGCCCUGCACUUCGGGAUAUGCCUGGGAAACUGGGUCUAAUACCGCAUAGGAUCCCUUCGUCGCUGUUGUGGUGGAAAGUUAUUUCGUUGUGGGCUGAGCUCGCGGCCUAUCAGCUUGUUGGUGGGCUCUUGGCCUACCAAUGCGUCGCCGCGUAGCCGGCCUGAGAGGGUGUCCGGCCACAUUGGGACUGAGCCCCGGACCAGCCUCCUGCCGGCAGCAGCAGUGGGGAAUAUUGCACAAUGCGCGGUAGCCUGAUGGAGCCACGCCGCGUGAGGGAUGACUGCCUUCGGGUUGUAAACUCUUUACGCAAAAGACGACUUUUGACGGUUUUUGGACAAGAAGCGCCGGCCCACUUCGGGC